GGCUCCGUGGUGGAAUCCACGUCGGAUUGCAAAUCCGGAGAUGUGAACUGACUGUUUGCCGGGGCUU
rnacentral:tRNA from 1 species